AAACGCUAAUGCAAAGAAAGCUUUAUCCUCAGAGGCAAAUCAACCACCAACAUCAGACCUCCUCCGCCAGUUCCAAGAAAAUGUACCGGGAG